AAUAAGCGGAGGAAAAGAAACUAACAAGGAUUCCCCUAGUAACGGCGAGUGAAGCGGGAAGAGCUCAAAUUUGAAAUCUGGUAGCCUUCGGUUGCCCGAGUUGUAAUCUAGAGAAGUGUUUUCCGUGCCGGCCCAUGUACAAGUCCCUUGGAACAGGGCGUCAUAGAGGGUGAGAAUCCCGUCCUUGACAUGGACCCCCGGUGCUUUGUGAUACACUUUCAACGAGUCGAGUUGUUUGGGAAUGCAGCUCAAAAUGGGUGGUGAAUUCCAUCUAAAGCUAAAUAUUGGCGAGAGACCGAUAGCGAACAAGUACCGUGAGGGAAAGAUGAAAAGCACUUUGGAAAGAGAGUUAAACAGUACGUGAAAUUGUUGAAAGGGAAACGAUUGAAGUCAGUCAUGCUCUUAGGAUUCAGCCGUUCUGCGGUGUAUUUCCUUUGAGUGGGGUCAACAUCAGUUUUGAUCGAUGGAUAAAGGCACGAGGAAGGUAGCACUCUCGGGUGAACUUAUAGCCUCGCGUCAUAUACAUUGAUUGGGACUGAGGAACGCAGCAUGCCUUUAUGGCCGGGAUUCGUCCACGUACAUGCUUAGGAUGUGACAUAAUGGCUUUAAACGACCCGUC
rnacentral:rRNA from 1 species